AGUAGUUUCCACAUAACAUUGUGUGUACGAAUGGGCCAUAGUUACGAACUUCAAUAACUUUUACGUGUGAUAUCACACUAAAUAAACACAUAAGUAAUCGGUAACAUGUAUUAUUUACUUGCCUUACUUGGUUUGCAUAACACUGUUAUAAUUUAUUAGUACCUAUUAUUUUGAUUAAUGCCUCAAAAUCAUUUAAUUAUUUCUAGAUUACACCAGAUGACCAUGUUUACCAUGAAUGCUGGCAGCUAGCUAGUCAUUCAUGUUCUUCUGAUAAUAUGCCGAGAAGACACAUAGGCCAUCAGUGUUUGUGUUGUAUGUGGACAACCCAUACUAAGAAUCAGGCAAUGCAGAAUUUUGAUUGAAGAAGAACAAAGAAUGGCUUACACAAUUGCUAAUUGGAUCUAACCACGACAGCUUCAUCCUGAAGAUAAAGCUUGUGUGCGGUGUUGGUUAAGAGUGAGAACUAAGGAUACUUCACUAAAUGAAGAUAUUCAAUCCGUUCAACCUAAUCAGCAGAAAAGUGAUAAUUCUGAACUGAUGUGUGCUGCAUGUGGUCAAAGUCUUACUCCCAACAACACUGCUUGUUUGUUGGAGCACCAGCAGACACCUUCCAUGAAUGAAGUUUGUGAAGUUUGCUGGGGCCAAGUAUGCAAUUUGAGCUUCUAUGUUCCAGAUGGUCUAUGUUGCUUCAAGCUAAAAUAAAGUCCUGCCACUCUUCUCCUAGAACUUAUUUUGUUUUCAUAGUUGCAGAAACAAAUAUGAAUAGCCGGGACACAAUCAAAAGUGAUUGCUGUAAUUGUAUUGUAGGUUUAAGAACAGUGGGAUGCUGCUCACAUGUUAUGAGCAUUCUUUGGUAUUUGAGUUAUGCUUGCCAUGAGGGUAUGAGCCGACCUGCCCCUUUCUUGGAUGAAGUAAUAUUAAGAACCAAUCAAGUAAUUAUAAGAAAAUAAAGUAAAUGAAAUUCCUACAAAAACUAAGUUGUUUUAUUUACCUACGCUCAAAACUCCAUCAGCACUUAAUCAUUAUCAAACUAUUGUAGACCG